rnacentral:rRNA from 1 species
CCUACGGGUCGCACCAGUAAGGAAUAUUGGUCAAUGGACGCAAGUCUGAACCAGCCAUGCCGCGUGCAGGAUGACUGCCCUAUGGGUUGUAAACUGCUUUUGUUAGGGAAUAAACCCAUCUACGAGUAGAUGGCUGAAUGUACCUAAAGAAUAAGGAUCGGCUAACUCCGUGCCAGCAGCCGCGGUAAUACGGAGGAUCCGAGCGUUAUCCGGAUUUAUUGGGUUUAAAGGGUGCGUAGGCGGCACUUUAAGUCAGGGGUGAAAGACGGCAGCUUAACUGUCGCAGUGCCUUUGAUACUGAAGUGCUUGAAUGCGGUUGAAGACGGCGGAAUGAGACAAGUAGCGGUGAAAUGCAUAGAUAUGUCUCAGAACACCGAUUGCGAAGGCAGCUGUCUAAGCCGUUAUUGACGCUGAUGCACGAAAGCGUGGGGAUCGAACAGGAUUAGAUACCCUAGUAGUC